rnacentral:rRNA from 1 species
GUCUUUUUGAAUAAUAUUUAUUUAAAGUCUAAUCUGCUCACUGAAUUAAAAUUUAAAGAGCCGCAGUAUUUUAACUGUGCAAAGGUAGCAUAAUAAUUUGUUUUUUAAUUAAAAACUAGAAUGAAUGAUUGAACGAGAUAUAUACUGUCUCAAUUUUAAUUUAAUAUAAAUUAAUUUUUUAGUUAAAAAGCUAAAAUUGAUUUAAAAGACGAGAAGACCCUAUAGAUUUUUAUAUAAUUAUCAAUUAAUUUAUAUAUAUAUAAAUUUAUUUAUAUUUAUUGAUAAUUGUAUUUUAUUGGGGUAAUAAAAAAAUAAAAAAAACUUUUAUUAAAUAAAAACAUAAAUUAAUGAAAAUUUGAUCCAAAUUUAAUGAUUAAAAGAUUAAAUUACCUUAGGGAUAACAGCGUAAUUUUAAUUUUAAGUUCUUAUUGAAAUUAAAGAUUGCGACCUCGAUGUUGGAUUAAGAAAAAUUUUAAAAGUAGAUUUUUAAAUUUUAGGUCUGUUCGACCUUUAAAAUCUU